rnacentral:rRNA from 1 species
CAGCACCUCAAGUGGUCAGGAUGAUUAUUGGGCCUAAAGCAUCCGUAGCCUGCUUUGUUAGUUUUCGGUUAAAUCCAUACGCUCAACGUAUGGGCUGCCGGGAAUACUGCAAAGCUAGGGAGUGGGAGAGGUAGACGGUACUCGGUAGGAAGGGGUAAAAUCCUUUGAUCUAUUGAUGACCACCUGUGGCGAAGGCGGUCUACCAGAACACGUCCGACGGUGAGGGAUGAAAGCUGGGGGAGCAAACCGGAUUAGAUACCCGAGUAGUC